rnacentral:rRNA from 1 species
CAGCCGCCACGGUAAUACGUAGGUGGCAAGCGUUGUCCGGAAUUAUUGGGCGUAAAGGGCUCGCAGGCGGUUUCUUAAGUCUGAUGUGAAAGCCCCCGGCUCAACCGGGGAGGGUCAUUGGAAACUGGGAAACUUGAGUGCAGAAGAGGAGAGUGGGAUUCCACGUGUAGCGGUGAAAUGCGUAGAGAUGUGGAGGAACACCAGUGGCGAAGGCGACUCUCUAGUCUGUAACUGACGCUGAGGAGCGAAAGCGUGGGGAGCGAACAGGAUUAGAUACCCCGGUAGUCCCUGUCUCUUAUAC